CAGCCAUUCGUCUAAUUUUUUUUCAAGGUUUUUAACUUCUUUGUCAUGGGUUCGAUCUUCCUCCUUUAGUUCAGAGUAGUUUGAUCAUCUGAAGCCUUCUUCUCUCAACUCGUCAAAGUCAUUCUCUGUCCAGCUUUGUUCCAUUGCUGGUGAGGAGCUGCGUUCCUUUGGAGGAGGAGAGGCACUCUGAUUUUUAGAGUUUCCAGUUUUUCUGCUCUGUUUUUUCCCCAUCUUUGUGGUUUUAUCUACCUUUGGUCUUUGAUGAUGGUGACAAACAGAUGGGGUUUUGGUGUGGAUGUCCUUUCUGUUUGUUAGUUUUCCUUCUAACAGUCAGGACCCUCAGCUGCAGGUCUGUUGGAGUUUGCUGGAGGUCCACUCCAGACCCUGUUUACCUGGGUAUCAGCAGCAGAGGCUGCAGAACAGCAGAUAUUGGUGAACAGCAAAUGUUGCUGCCUGAUGAUUCCUCUGGAAGUUUUGUCUCAGAGGAGUACCCAGCCAUGUGAGGUGUCAGUCUGCCCCUUCUCGGGGGUGCCUCCCACUUAGGCUACUCAGGGGUCAGGGACCUACUUGAGGAGGCAGUCUGUCCGUUCUCAAAUCUCCAGUGUGUGCUGGGAGAACCACUGCUCUCUUCAAAGCUGUCAGACAGGGACAUUUAAGUCUGCAGAGGAUUCUGCUGCCUUUUGUUUGGCAAUACCCUGCCCCCAGAGGUGAAGUCUACAGAGGCAGGCAGGCCUCCUUGAGCUGUGGUGGGCUCCACCCAGUUCAAGCUUCCUGGCUGCUUUGUUUACCUACUCAAGCCUCGGCAAUGGUGGGUGCCCCUCCCCCAGCCUCGCUGCCACCUUGCAGUUUGAUCUCAGACUGCUGUGCUAGCUAUGAGCGAGGCUCCGUGGGCAUAGGACCCUCUGAGCCAGGCACAGGAUAUAAUCUCCUGGUGUGCCAUUUGCUAAGACCAUUGGAAAAGCUCAGUAUUAGGGUGGGAGUGACCUGAUUUUCCAGGUGCCGUCUGUCACUCCUUUCUUUGACUAGGAAAGGGAAUUCCCUGACCCCUUGCGCUUCCCGGGUGAGGCAAUGCCUCGCCCUGCUUCGGCUCAUGCUCGGUGCGCUGUACCCACUGUCCUGCACCCACUUUCCGACACUCCCCAGUGAGAUGAACCCGGUACCUCUGUUGGAAAUGCAGAAAUCAUCCAUCUUCUGCGUCACUCACGCUGGGAGCUGUAGACUGGAGCUGUUCCUAUUCGGCCAUCUUGGCUCCACCCCCCAACAUGUCUCAUCAUCUCAGUUUUAUAGGGGAUUGAUAUAUUUAGCUUUUUGAAGAACUUAUCAACUGAAGUUAAAGGCAUUAUAUAUUAUGUUAUUCACUGUCCCUUGUAAAAUAACUCAUGCAAGAAAAUUGCUUUCUAUUUUCAAAACAAGAAAAAAUGUUUCUCCUGUAAGCAGAACUGAUAUGUUUAUUUUUGUCAAACAAUGUAAAUAUGUGAUACAUUAUAGUUCCCAUUUUAAUUUGACUCAAAAUAAACUCAAUUACAAUUACUGUAUAAAUUUAAAUUUAGGGAAAUUUAUCUCUCUUACAUGACUUUGAUUUUCCAUUUUUAUUUUAGCACAUUUAAGUUAUAAAUAUUGUUACAAACUAAUAUAUUUAAACUUUUUGAAAUUAUUAAGCUUCUACUGGGUACUGAGGUAGACAUAAAAAAUGGAAAAAUAAAAUUUGGAAAAAUUUUUUUCAGUAUAAAUAUCCAUUAUUGGUUAUAUAUUAAUAUUUACAAUGAGGAAGAAUUUAUCAUAUCUUUAAACUUAAAAUUAUCAGUGUCUAGAAAAUUGAUAAUUUGGUAAAAGUCUUGUGAACACAGGACUGAUAGCUAUUCACAGGGCUAUUUCUGGAUUGGAAACCUUUAUUCUUUUUCUGAACCUUAAUUUCCCACAUUACAAAAUGGCAGCUCAACCCAUAGUCACCAUUCACAUAUAAUUUUUCAUCUGAAAGUUUCUAGUUAAGCAGCUUCCUUUUUCCUAGGCUCUUUUUUUAAGCCUGGAGAGAGAUUGAAUCACAUACUUACAGUUUGUUUCCCUAUAGUCAGAGAAGAAUAUUUGGCAGCAGAAAUUUUGUAAUUGACCUUCUGCUGGACUGUAUUAGUACCAAGUUAGUAUUUCACAUAAUUUCAUGUACUGUUUGCCCAUGAUAUAAUUAUUAAGCACAUCCUGUAUACACACCUCUGAGGCAAAUACAAAGAUAAACUAGUCAUAAUAGAAGGAAAAACAAGUCACCUAAAAGCAGUUGAUGAAUGCGAUGACUCUGCCUUCUAGAAAUAGGAACAAUUGUUUCAAGAAAGAAUGUAAAUGCUUUAAAGUUGACAAUACAAAAGUAACGUUGUAGCAGAAACAGGGUGCUAGGUGGAGGGAGAAGUGGAGUUCCACAGGAAAAUAGAAGCAGUAAUCUUCUUUGUUGCACGAUAGAAAUUCAAGUUAAUAAAUAAGCAGGCAGGAGACUGGAGAAUCAUUCUCCAGAGAAACUGGGCAGAACAGAAGAGAUACCAGUAAAAACUGAUAUUUGGGUAUCCCUCUGAAUUUGUUAGGGCAUAGGCUAAGCUGCUAUAACAAACACACUUCAAACACAACGGCUAACAAGGCAGAAGUUUAUCUCUUUUUCAUAUGACAGUCCAGAGAUGGAAGUGCAUUCAGAACAGUCACGAGCUCUGACCCAAGUUGACAAGGUCAUCCAAGGGCCAAAUGCUUUCCCUUUCAUUACUCUAGCAUCCGCAGGAACUGUCCUCAGAAUGGCAGAGGCUGACUCACCAUCACUCUUGCCAGCACUUCAGCUCACCGCGGGGGGAAAGAGGAAGCGGAAAGCAAGUGGGGCCGGGCGCAGUGGCUCACGCCUGUAAUCCCAGCACUUUGGGAGGCCGAGGCGGGUGGAUCACAAGGUCAGGAGUUCAAGACCAGCCUGGCCAAGAUGGUGAAACCCCAUCUCUACUAAAAAUACAAAAAAAUUAGCCGGGCGUGGUGGUGGGCGCCUGUAAUCCCAGCCACUCGGGAGGCUGAGGCAGAGAACUGCUUGAAUCCGGGAGGCAGAGGUUUCAGUGAGUCAAGAUCGCGCCACUGCACUCCAGCCUGGGCGACACAGCGAGACUCGUCUCAAAAAAAAAAAAGAAAAAAGAAAAGAAAAGAAAGCAAGUGACUUCUUUCCUAAGAAAGUAACUAGGAAGUUGUGCACAUUGGGAGGUUACUCCGAGGGAGCAUCUAACAGAGCAGCGGAUACCCUGCUGAUAUUCAAAGGGGUGAGGGUAGUUGUAUUACCUAAACAAGUAGGGGAAAUGGAUACUGGGAAGCAAUCAGCAGUUUCUGCUACAACUGCCAAUAAGAAAAAAGUAGUUCACUGCCCAAUCUCACCAUGUACAUAGAACUUAAAUAAUCAGUGAUAUGGGUCUCACUCUUUAAAAUGAAUAUAUAACCUAGAACCAUCAUCAACAGAAGUUUGCAGAGAGCAGAAUAGAACUUCCAUAGAAACUAUUAUUAAUAUCCUCUGAGAAAUAUAGGUAGGCACUGUAUCCAUAAAAAACAGAAUACUUUUUUAAAUGAAGGGAAUAUUUUUGAAAAUGGUUAAAAUACAAAAUCAAGAAAUGAUCCCCAAAGAAUGUGGGGAAGGGAUGAGACAGAGAUGAUGUAUGGGAAAAAGAGAGAAAAUUUAAGAAAAUUACUAGAUUGACAAAAAGGAUCAAUAUCUGACCAGUAAGAUUUCUCUAAAAAUAAGAGAAAAAUAUAAAGAAGACAAAAAAAACUAUACCAACAACAUUUCUCAGAAUAAAAUAUGAGUUUCCCUACAGAAAAACAAGGAUAAAAACAUCCUAUAUGAUCAAGAAUUAAAAUGGUUCUGGCUUUUCUACUAUAAUAUUGGAAACUGUAAUACAAAAAAAGAUACUGUUUAAAAGUUCUAAAAGAAAAUUUUUUUAACCCAAUUUUCUACACUCAGCCAAAUUAUCAACCAAGUGUGAGAAUAAAGACAGUUUCAAAUAUGUUGGAGCUCAAAAUUUUACUUCCUGUGCAUCAUUUCUUAGGUGGCUCCUGGAGGGUGUGUUCCAGUACAAUGAAUGAAUAAGUCAAGAAAGAGGAGAACUUGAGUCCAAGAAGCAAAGACAGGGCAAGGAGGCUUUUUCCACAACCAUCGAAGGCUACUCUGAUUUGCAAUUAGCAGGAUAAACUGAAGAUAACACCUUGCAGAAGCAGAUCUCAAUUAACAACUGAUGGAAUCAACAGAUGGAACCAUACAGAAAAGGCAGCUGUAGAAGAGUUCAUCUGUAUCCUGGCCAUAUGGCCUUGACCUACUCUAGAGAAAAGAGGAAACUGAAGAGGCCAAAAGAAAGGGAACACACAAUGAGGAAGAAGGAGAAAGUUGGACCCAUUCCAAGAAUCAUGCAAGCCAUUCUGCUGGAUGUGAAGUGGUAUCUGAUUGUUACUAGAAGGCUAUCCUUACAAGAAAUGCUAAAGGAAAUUGUUCAGACUGAAAGCAAUUGACACCAGACGGUAAUUUGAAUCCACACAGUAAAACAAUGAGCAUCAGCAGAGGUCAUUAUGUCAGUAAUUUGAACCACAGUAUAAUAUAUAUUACUACUCCUUCCUUCUCUUAGCUGAUUUAAACAGCAAUUGCAUAAAACAAUAUGUAUAUAAUUGCAUUAUUAAGCCUAUAACAUACAGAAAUGCAAUAUAUUUGACAAUAACAUCACAAGAAAGGUAGGAGGGAACAAAGCUGUAUUAUAGUACAGAAAUGACACCAGAUGGUAACUUGAAUCUACAGGAAGAAAUAAAGAGCGCCAGAAAUGAAGAAUAAGAAGAUUAACAUAAUAAACUCUCUAAAUAUAUACUUGCCCUCCUUUCUUCUCUCAGCUACUAUAAAAGACAUGAAACAUGAAAUUAUAUAAAACAAUAAUUAUAAAAAUUUAUUGUGCAGUUUGUAAUAUAUGUAAGUGCAAAAUAUGUUGUUGGAUUCUUGGUUGAGGUUUUUAUCUUUCUGCACUUUGAAUGUGUCAUCUAGCUGCUUUCUAGCCUCCAUUCUUUCUGAUAAGGAAUCAGAUGUUAAUCUUACUGGGGUUACAUUGUACAUGAUGCGUUGCUCUUCUCUUGCUGCUUUCAAGAUUUUCUCUUCAUUCUUGGUUUUCAACAUUUUGAUUAUAAUGUCUCAAGGUCUAGACCUUUUUGCAAUAUCCUACUUGAGUUCAACAAGCUUCUUGGAUAUGUAGAUUAAUGUGUUGUUUUGUUCUUUUGUUUGGGUUUUUUUUUUUUUUGGUCAAAUUUGUGAUAUUUUCAGCCAUUUUUCCUUUGUAUAGGUUUUUAUCUCCUUUCUCUUUCUCUCAUCUUUCUGGGACUCUCAUUAUACAUAUGUUGGUACACUUAAUGGUGUCCCACAUUUCUCUGAUGCCAUUUAUUUUUCCUCAUUCUUUUCAUCUCUGUGCUUCAAAUUGCAUAAUCUCAAUUUAUCUUCAAAUUCACUGAUUCUUUUUCCAACUCAAAUCUACUGUUGAGUUCCUCUUUUGAAUUUUUCAUUUUACUUACUGUGUUUUUCAACUCUAGAAUUUCCAUUUCUUUUUAAAAUAAUUUCUAUCUUUAUCAAUAUUUUCUAUUUGAUAAAACUGUCAUAAUACAUUUACUUAAUUCUUUAAAUAUUGUUUCCUUUAGUUCUUGGGACAUAUUUAUAAUAGCUGCUUUGUGAUUCUUUGAACUUUCCUGCUAAGUCCAUUCUCUGGGCUCCCUCAAAAACAGUUUCUAUUGUUGGCUUUUUCCCUUUACAUGGGUCACUCUUUCCUGUUUCUUUGCACAUCUGACAAUUUUUUUUUUGAAAACAGAACAUGUUAGAUAAUACAUUGCAGCAACUUUGGAUAUUGAUUCUCCCUUACCACCUUUGGGAUCUGUUGUUGUUUCCUCAUUUUCUUGUUUGUUUAGUGACAUAAUUGGACUAGUUCAGUUAAGUCUGUUUCCUUCAAAGUGUGCAACAUCUAACAGCAUGCCUCAGACAGCACAGACUUGGGCAUGUACACAGUCUUUUUAACUGCCAGAGAUAACUGUGGUUUUCUCUUUGACUGUCUCUUUCUCAUUGAGACUUUGGGUGGUCUACCUCUGUUGGUAUUACAUACAACCAUUGGCCUCCAGCAAUCUUUAUCUGAUUGUUCUACUUUUUUCAGCAACUCCCUGGGGCAUAAUAUGCUUCACAGUCUAAUCCAAUUAAAGUUCCUUGAAAGGGGCAGAGUGUUUACAGUCUUUGAAGCUUGCUCCAAAUCUGCCCUGGAAGAAUGUCUGUCCUAUAGAUCAGGAGCUGGGGGAAAUUAGAAAACUCAUUCUUUCCCAGGCACUGCACUAGAGUUCUUCUUAUGGUGUAGGAGCUGUGAGAAGAGAAAAGGGGGAAGUAGGAACUGGCACUGCCACCCAGCUGCGCCCACCACCAAGUACACAUAUUCCACAGCGCAGAGCUGGGGAGAAUAAUAACUGCCAAUAUUCAUAGCUGUCAACCUACCCAUAAUAGUUCUUCCAUUCUAGGAAGCUGGGGAAGAUGGGAGAUGCCACUUGGCUGCUGAGCCAACUGGAAUAGUUCUCGUGCAACAUAGAGCCAUGAAAAAGGGGGGACUGACUUCUUACCAGCUGCCCCACUUAGAUCCUCCCCAUAUAAUCGGAGUUGGGGGUGAAGGAACAGACACUGAUGCAUGUUUGCUGGCACCGAUUCAAUAUUCGACUUCCACAGCAUGGAUCUUUGAAAAAUACUGUCAUGUAAUUUUCACUGGCUGCCAAAUCCACCCCAAAUAACUUUUUUACCCCAGGGAGCUGGAGAAGAUGGGAAUUGCCACUUGUGGGAUGAGCCCACAGAAAACAUCCUCCCGCAAGGUAGAGCUGUUGCAGCCCCUAGUUCUAAUGCAAUGUCCUCCCACUGUUCCUAUCAAGUCUCCAUAUUUUUGCUGAAUAAAUGCUUCUCGGUUUGUUGUAAUCCCUUUGAUCACUCUCCAGAGACUUUGAAUGGUUUUCUUUGCUAAUUUUGACCAGCUUGGUGGAUACCUCUUCAGGAGAGAGGUUUCCCCAAACUCCUCCACCACUGCUCCAGAAAUCCCCAGAAGUUCUUGACAUUUCGUGAGGGCAAAACUUAGAGCACAAGGCAUCAGUGGCUUCCUUCUCUUACCAGUUGUAUAACCUUGAGCAAGUCUUUUAACCUCUGUGAACAGUUUCUCAUCUGUAACAUAAGGAUAAUCAUAGUGCCCACAAUUGUUGGGAGGAUUUGUUGAGUUAAUCCUUGUUAUGCACCUAGUCUAGUGCCAAGUUAUCAUUAUUACUAUUGUCAUUAUUUUUAAUAAUCCACGAGUUUAUAACUUCAGAGUGUUGGAAUCAUAACCAGUUCACACAAUACUUUUGUACAAGUUAUAAAAGGCAUUUUUCCUCAGGACAAUUUAUUAUUUGUCUUUCAAAGUAAUUAUAAUAAUAUAAUGAUUUUGUUAGAAUAAGACAAUUUUCUAUCAAAUUCCAUAAAAUUAUUGAAAUAAAUAUACAAAUCCAUAGUAUCUACAAUGUUAACACCUCCCUUUAAGGUUGGAAUGUGCACAGUCUUGUGGUAUGUGGCAGUUUUGUGUGACAAUAUAUGACCUUGCAGAGUGCACUAAAAUCAUUCUUCUUUCCAACAAGAAAAAAAUAAAGGAAAUUAUUGAUCUAGA